GAUGAAGAACGUAGCGAAAUGCGAUAAGUAGUGUGAAUUGCAGAAUUCAGUGAAUCAUCGAAUCUUUGAACGCACAUUGCGCCCUUUGGUAUUCCUUUGGGCACGCCUCUUCGAGCGUCAUUUACCCCCUCAAGCUUAGCUUGGUGAUGGGCGUCUUGUCCCGCCUCUCGCGCGUGGACUCGCCUCAAAAGCAUUGGCGGCCGCUACACUGGCUUCGAGCGCAGCAAAACGCGCCUUCGAGGCAGUGGAUCGGCUCCCAGAAGCCCCCUUUUAUCAAGUCUUGACCUCGGAUCAGGUGAGAAUACCCGCUGAACUUAAGCAUAUCAAUAAGCGGAGGA
rnacentral:misc_RNA from 1 species